CACACACACACACACACACACACACACACAUAUAUAUAUACAUAUAUAUAUAUAUGUAUAUAUAUAUGUGUGUGUGUGUGUGUGUGUGUGUGUGUGUG
rnacentral:miRNA from 14 species